rnacentral:lncRNA from 1 species
ACUUCAGCUAAACCCUCAACUCAGUGGAUUGGGACGGCACUGAGAAGCCCCUGAUGUGCCGCAUCUUAGGCAGAAUCCCGUGGAGACUGGUUCCAGCUGCCACAUAGGCCCUUAAGCAGAUUUUGGAUCCCAGGGUGGAGGCCACGCAGAGCCUGAAACUUCUCAGGAAGUCAUGCUGCCAAGCACCGACCAGAGAGCAGGAUGGGAAGGCAAGACGAUCCCAAAGCUGAACUCCUUCAGUGGAAGCAGGAACUCUGAGCCAAAGAACUAAGGAAAACACAAUCCAUCAAACGUGUACCCACCCCCCCCACACACAUGCAUCUGCAUGUGUAUACAUGUACACACACUAGUCCACCAAGAGGUGGAAAAGGAGAAAAUACCCCCUCUUCUGAGAUCUGAAUAAUGCAUGAAAUGACCAACUUGAAGUAAUUGAAGGAUAAGUUCUAAAAUCAUCCCAAGAAUAUACAAAGGCAUCUUCAACAUCAGAACAGCAUUUCUCAAUU